UUGAAACCGAUGGUAGUUGUUGCACAGUACAGAAACAAUUUUACGUAUUUUUCCUCCGUUUCUUUUUGGAUAUUAUCUCCGAAGGCCAUCCUAAUUCAUCUAAAGCAUUAGCUAGAAACUAGACAUGUUAUAUAAUACCAGCAUGAAGCUAACAAUGAGCAUAGGCUAUAAGUAAUUUGAACUGGUAAUUUACAGGGCAUCUGCUAAUCGAAGUUCCAUAUUCUUUUCUUUAUGUAGUUUGCUUCAUGCAACUCAUCUCUACCAUGAAAGAAGGCAUAAACCUACAUAAGUAAACUCAGAGAAACUGUAAGAAAACGUAUAAGCAACUAGCUUGAAUAACUACUUUUGGCAAUCCUAAUGCUCGCUCAAGCUCACAAGCUAGGAAGAUAUUUGAAGACAACAACAAAAAUCUGGAAUCUUAUUCAUUACAUAUCAAAUGGACUCAGGAGUUCCCCCAAACACUUCAGUAGGCAAAGUUCUUUUGCCCUAAUUGAGUCAA
rnacentral:lncRNA from 1 species